ensembl:lncRNA
CUCAUUUAAGGGCUGACUGCUGCUCUAGAAGGUUCUCUGGUUGGUGAUCCCUUCUGUGUGGUGUUUUCCUUACAAGCCUAGAUCUUCAGAGACAGCAGUAGUGGAGGUCUGCAUGAGAAGUUGUGCAACAACUCUAUCUGGAAAGUGGAGAUCCUUCUAUGAUGGCAUGUCUUGUGGUACCUCACUGCAGUCACCCUGGAGAUUUGUUAGAACAUUGCAUGCUGUCCAUUUUAUAGUAAAACUCAACUAGAUCUUUUUUUCAUUUAAAAUACGAGGUUUUUGAUAAUGAUUGUGAUGAUCUGAGGAUCUCUCUUGGUUCUUCAGCUGCAAGUUAGACACCAGUAUUGUAAGGAGGGUUUCCCAGACCUUUCCUCUCUUUUCCAGAUGGGAUGUCAAGAAGUGAUUGCUCCUGUUGGUUAUUUAUUAUGAGGAGUAGACAUCGUGUAAAGCACUGGUUUUACCUUACAUUACCUUAUUUACCUUAUAGGCAGUGCUGCAGCCUUAAAGAUGACAGGCUGCAGACUGUUCAUGUCAGAUGCAAUGUACUGUGUAAAAAUCUGGAGUACCCUUCUAAAACAGUGUUUCAGAAAAAAUUGCUUGAGCAGUGAGUCACAGCAGACUCUUUUCAGUACCUCUGGACAGACAGAGGUCAGCAAGUCUAAACUUAGCUGCAGCCAGAAUCUCUCCUUAGCUGCUGCUUAAGUGAGUAGUGGUCUUGCAUUUUAGUGUUGAAAUUAAUGCAAAGAGCUCAAAAGCUGCAUCUUUCAAUGUCAGUCAAAGAGUAAUGAUGUUACACAACACUUCCUUGUAAGAUUUGGGAACAUUCAGUGUUAAUAAGAGGAGGAUGAAUCUGAAAAAGCUUUCAAAAACUUAUAGAAAUAUCCAACUCUUCAUUAUAUGAUGGAAAUCUCUGAAGAAUUUGCCCAUACCUUAUUCAUAAAUAAAAGUUAAAUAGUGAUGUUAGAAUUGUAUGACAUAGUUUCUGAAACAAGACUGCUUUAGGUCUUUAUAUAAUUGUUAGGAAGUUUUAGCUAAAUAGAUCUUGAUCAAAAUUGGCUGUAACGGAAGUACAGAAGGGGGACCCCGUGCUCUUAUAUUGUCUUUGCAUGGGUUUCUUGCUUCUUGGUGGUGUAGAAUCUUACUAUGAUUUCAGAUGUUUUUGUCUUGGUGGCAAAAAGUGAGCCCUAAACAGACAUGUCUCCCUGUCUUGGUGGUUGUUGCUAACUAUGAACUUCAUCAAUAAUUCACUGAAGUUAAUCAAAGGACUCCUUGUCUCAGUGAUCUUAGAAGCAGACUCUGCAAAAGGAUAUUUCUCUUAUUUGUGAGGCCAGACAAUAAGGGAGUGAGUAAUUCCUCCACUCAAAGAAUGAUCAAGUAGUAUUUUUUUACACUGCAAUAGAUACAAGUCAUAGUCCUGACUUAUAAUAGGAGGAGAGCAUCACAUAUUAUGUGCAUUUCUCCUCUGUAGGAAACAUUGUCUUAAUCUGUAGAUGUCAGUCAGGAAGUCCUGAUGGAUAUGAUUCUUGACAGAAAGGAGCAACAGAGGGUGAGAUGAGUGAGGAGACCAGAGGGACAAAUCUUACUAUGAGCAUCCUUGAUUAGGGCUCAGAGCUGGAUUUCUUGAGAAAGAUCAUAUUGAGUAAUUGCUUAGUAAACUUAACUGUAGAUUGUACAAUAAAAACUCACAUCAUUUCAGCUGAAAUGUACGUAAAAGUAUUUCAAAUUUGGACAAAAUUGUGCUUUAUGUGCAUGUUUAUUUAAAAAAGCAACUAAGCAACCAUUUAAAAAAUAACUUUGAAAAAUA